UAUUAGACCAAGGGGAGCAGGGCAGGGAGGGGGGCAAGAGCAGCUGCUGAGAAUGGCCAUGGGGAGAUGAUGAAAUCCCCUUUCUGCCAUAAAUAGCAUCACAGUGGGGAAAAAGACCAAAAAACCCAGAGCAGACCAUACAUCUGAAAUCAAACAGAGGGAUUGCAGGGAACAUCAGAACAGCAGCUCCAAAAAAUGAACUGGUUUUAUUUCUUUCUCUUUUCUUCCUGUUGCCCAGAUAAAAGAAUUAGUGUCUGAGAACUUCCACUCCCCAGAGUCUCAUGAGAACACAUCCUAUUGUCCCCAGUUUGAAGAAACUGAGGCAAGGGAUUGUGAUGCUGGUUUGACAGUGUCCUGGUUUCAGCUGGAGGAAGGUUAUUUUUUUCUGCCUAGUAGCUGAUACAGUGCUGUGUUUUGGAUUUGGGAUGAGAAUAGUGUUGAUGUUUUAGUUCUUGCUGAUCAGCAGCCAAGGAGUUUUCAUCCUCUCAUUCUGCCCUGCCAGCAAGGAGGCUGGAAGGGAGCAGAAGAAGCUGGGAGGGGACACAGCCAGGACAGCUGAUCCCACAGACCUAAGGGAUAUUCCAGACCAUGUGCAGAAUGCUGGACAAAAAAAAUUGGGAGGAGUUACCCAGGGGUGGUGAGUGCUGUUUGGGGACCGACUGGACAUUGCUCAGUGAGGGAUUUCUGGUGUUGACUGCAGAGAGGAGCAAACCCCAGGAUGUUUGGAGCCUGUUUUUCCAGGUUGGGUUAUUGCCCAAAUGGUGAGCACAUGGACAUGGACUUUGUUUCUAUUUUGCUGUUGGCAAACCUGGGCACUGCCACAUCAUACACAGAGCAAUGGAGAAGCAAACCUUUGGCUGACAGUGACACAAAUAACACUCGAGUCUGAGCCCUCACCAGCAGAUCAAGACCUCCAUAUCACUAGAAAAAUGUGCUGAAGUAUUCACUGCACAUACUGUUCUCCCUCAAAGGAACAGAAGUGUGCACAUCAUUAAAAGGAAAUAUUUUAUGCUGAUCAUUCCCA